UAAAGGCACAGGAGCUCUUCUAGGAAAAAAGGUGGCAACUCUCAAAUUUUUUAGGCGAAACUUUGUGUUCCCUGGCAUAGUCUACUCACAUGUGCUGGCCUGAAGGUGUGAAGCAAGACGACUUUCAAUAUGUAGUCGUAUUUCUGUCUGUAGUUUCCUUUGCAUGGAUGGGGAGGCUUGACACUAGAGAGCUGUCAGCCGACUGAAUGUCUACUCUAGAGUAACUCUCAUUGUUUAAUGGAGCUUACUCUCAGUAAAGAUUUUAGCCUAACACAACAUCUCUUGUAUCUUUCACCCACUUCAGUAUACAAGAUCCCUAUUUAAUUUACUGUGACAUACAGAUGUCAAUACCACUUAGAGAAGCCCUUUAAAAAUGAUACUUUACAGGGAGUCCGGUGUUGCUGUUUGGGCAUUUUGGUAGGUGAAGUCCCACUGAGUGCAAUAGGAUUACUUCUGAGGUGUAAAGCUCUGCACCCUGCUGCAAUGCACCCUCUCCACUCCCUAGCUCUGUCUCUGCAAAAGAGAGAGAGAAAAUAAAACCUCCUUAAUUGUAAUAUAGAAAGGAUAUAACCCUUAAUUUGGUCUACUGAGCAUUUUCAGCUGCCCAUCAUCUGACUCUCAUAUACACCAUGAAAUAGAAAUCUUUAAAGUUGGUUAAUUUACCAUGUUUUUAACCGAUUAAUCAGGGAGGUCAUCCUACAAGAGAUAUCACACCAUCUCUAUAUCCAAUAUGCAGCAAUAUUUAAAGGGUGGUUUAAAUGCAGAGAAUACAGGCUUCAGGGGAAAAACCCACACAAAAAUAAUUCAUAGCUAUAAUCAUUUAUUUAUUGGGAGGGAAAGCAACAACCAUGAAAGGAUUGUCCAUUGCAGGAGAUGGUUUCUAAUAGUGUCCCAAUUUUACAGAAUGCUAUUCAUUGCAUUAUAAAAUCCCAUUUAAAUAAUCACAGGUACAAUUUGGUCUACACUGACAUGAAAACAUGUUCCCAUUUUCAAGUUUAUACUUAGUAAGUUCAAAAUUUUCAAACCUUUUCUUAGUAAGUUCCAAAACCUCGGAUGAAUAGAUUAAGACUUACCCCUGGAAUUUGUCUGAAGUUAGUCUGGGUUAGCACAACCUCAUUUCAUUGGUAUUUAUAGCUGCCAAGGAGUAGCUCCUUAUUAAAUCUUUACCUCCAUGUAUACUCAGAUCAGAUGCAUAUUUAAGAAUAGGUGUGUGGCAGUCAAAAGCUGAAAUAAGCUACAGGGAAUUCAAUGGGAUUCACUCACUAGUAGGUAUGAAUACUGAUUGCUUUCACUGCUCUUUCAAGAACUCCCUUAAAAAUGGGUUCUUUAAGGGUGGCAAAACAAUGGGUUUGACUAUUCCAAAAUACUUAAUCCAGAGUAAAAUUGUGUGUGGCACCAUUCAAGAGAUCACAGCUGUUUCACCUGCAGAACAGGAGAUGGGGGAUGGAAGUCUAGUAAAUCAGCUGAAGUUUCAGAAACUUCCCUGCCUUAUAUCCAAAAUAGGUGACUUACCUACACUCGCACAAUAAAACCAAAAUGCAGAGCCAGAUGUUGCAAUAAGUCCAAUGAAUGUGUGAGCAGGUAAUAUAGGCAGGAGUGACACUGUUAACAGAAAACAUCUAAUUAACAGUGACUUCAUUUGAUUGGGAGGAUGAAAAAGCCUUUUUAAAUCAAUCCAGAUUUACUGGCCUCAGCACAACCAAUUUAUGGCUCUGGAGGCUGAGGAGAGUCUGCUUUCCCUCAAGAUGUCAUCCAAGGGGGAUAAGGGGCUAGGUGAAGUCAUUUGGUUAGCCUGUGGAAACCCCAGGAGUCCCUUGAUUUUGGGAUUGAAGUCCAUGCUGCUUCUUCAUUUUAUUAGGAACAGGCCAAGCCCAUCAUGAAGGCUCUCUCGGCUUCUUGAAGCAAUUAGGCCCUCCCAAUUAGCAUACUUCUCCUGACCCCAAGAGCUUCUCCAGGUCCUUGCAUUAGGCAGCUUUUUAAAGACAGGGAAAAUGUGAAUACAGCUUGGACUCUAACUGGUGAGGCCACAUUCAACAAAGCCUAUAUCUGGAGGUGGGGGUGGAUAAAUUAUACUGUCUGUUGCUCUGUCCCUAUAAGAGGGUUUCCUUAGACAUGUGGCAUUCCUGUAGCUAUUGGAUCAGAAUUCUUGACAUGCAUGUCCACCAGCAAUGCUGAUUUGGGGAUGAUGAGUGCUGGAGUCAGGUAUCAUCUGGAGGAUCACAGGUUUCUCACUUUUGCAGAUCCUGGAAGGGGUCUUGAAAUAAGGAAGAGUACCCUAGCACCUAAAUAUUUUAGAGGACUAAACUGUAGGAAACUAGAGCUUCACACAGAUGGCAAUUGUCAUUCAUAGAUAGCUUCUCUCAUUAUUAUAGCACUGUGAUGGGAAAGGUCGCCAGUCUUUGAUCCUGUGCAACUUUUAAAGGCAAGUGUUGAUCCUGUGAAUCAGAAGUUUUGCAUUCUAACCCAGAUGUGAGGGAGCUGGUUCUGUUUAGUAAUGAGAAAUAGUACUUUGCACAUGCAUAGAAACACUCUCCCUUUAUUGGUGCAUGGGAACUCCAGGGCUAAUAACAAGUUCUGGAGAUCUGUCAUGGUGAACAUAGACUGAAUUAAACUUUACCAAUGAAAUGAACACAGGGAUUCAAACUCAGGUUUUCCAAGGAUUCAGUACUUUUAAUGGAGGUAAAAGAGAAGGUAAAACAACAGUUAAGACCAAUGUUUAGUGAUGGUAAUAAAAAACCCAUAUCACUGCCAGCUUACAGAGAAAAAUGUACUCUGUUUAAUAAUGUUUAUUAUGCCUAUAACUUAAAUUAUUAAGUGGAGUAUAAAGGAGAACCUUUGAAUUUGGGGACUCUCUCUCUCUCACACACACACACACACACACACACACACACUCCUGUUUCCGCCUUUCCUUGUUUUCUACAAUACUUCAGCUGUUGCUAAAGAAAGUGAGAAGAGCAAGGAAGGUUCCCCUUUUGGUUUUCAAGGCACGACAUCUGGGCAUCGUCAGUGGUGCCUUCUGGGGCAGAAGUCCAAUUCCCUACUCAACAGAAUGGACACUGGAGCCCCUUCUAUCAAUGCAGGAGGGCUGGCUUGCCAUAAUUUGAAGUAAACGAAGUAAGAAUCAUUACUACCUGAAACAGGAACAAUUGAUUCCAAAGACUAAAAUGUCCUAAGUGCACCACUGGAUAUAACUAUGCCAACUGCUCAAUUACAGCAUGGGAAAGGGGUUGGGCUGGAGAGUAAGGAGGAGAGUGGGCUGAGGGACCAAGAGAAGCAGGGCUAUUCAGCAAUCCUUUGGCUCUCAUUGUCCUGCCUACAGCUAUACCUGAAGAUUGUCUUAGAUGAUACUAAACAUUGUGGUGAAAUGUUGGACCCAGGUUGCUUAGAGUGAAGUCCUAAGCAUACUUGCAUUGAAAGAAAGGCCUACAACAUCCAGCCAGCCAUGUUUAAUGUUCUGGCUGGACAUGCUUGGAACUCUUGGCCUUCUGUCUCUCUAAACAUGCAUACAAUUAUGGCUUUAAGGCUAAAAAAAUAAAUCACUUCCAUGAACUCUGGAACCAGAUGAACCAGGUUUUUAUACACAUGGUAUAUACCUUACAUUUUUAAGGGUUGAAGAGCUUUUCGAUCAUUAUCACCUCUGUCUUCACAAUGAUUUUGUGUAUGAGGUAGGUUGCAAGGUUUCCAGUCUUUCAGAUGGAGGAAGAGAAGUUACUGGUUAGAGGUACAUUUGGGUAGGAAUUUGAUUCCAGUCCCAACAUCUUGGGAAUACCAAGUAUGCCUUCGUAAUCCCAGAACCAGGCUGCUGACAUGCACUCUAGAUGGGAAGUGUCAGCUGACGCAGAAUUGGAAUUCUAUCUCCUGACAGCACUGGAUGGUUCACUGACAGCAUAUAAUGAUACCAUGGCUCUAAGACUGGCACUAUGUUCUUAUAACAUUCAAAAUGCUGAUUUUAUUCCUUUGAAGCCCUGUGCGGCUUGGUUCCAACACAGCAACACAAUGUCUACUAGCAUUGUCCAAGGCUGAAGCCUCAUAUCCACUUACCUGGGAAACAGCCCAGUGGAAUACAAUGAGAUUUAUGUCUGAGCAAACACAUACAGGAGUCCUGAUGUGGUCACGGCUCUUUCUUAACGGCAUUGUCCCCAUGCCCAAGUAGCAUGCUGCAUGCACAGAGAAGGCUUCCUAAGAGUGGCUGCAUUUAUUUCCUAUUUAGGCCUGUCAAAACUUAGGCUUUUCUGUUUGGUUUGGUUUUCGCUGCUGGAGACUAUGCUAGUUUCAAUCUGUUUUAUUAUUACUACCUAUGUUUAAAAUGGGUAAAGAUUUGAAAAAGUGAUUAUUUCUGCCACCAUGCAAUACAAUAUUGCUGUGCAUUGAAGAGUGAAAAAUACGGAGGAGGUUACUAAUAAGAGUAAGAAAGAGAUAGUAGCAACUUUAUGCUACAUUUAAUAUUACGCUUUGUCAGAAAGUGGCAUCAUUAUCCAUUAUGUUCUCCAUGAUAGGUUAAUUAUUAGUGGGAAAUGUCUAGUGGGCUCAGUCUAAUCCCAUCUCAGUUAUGAGCUCACUGGGAGGCAAUCCGAAAAUAUGUCUACUUGGAAGGAAGUCUUCUGAAUUUAAUGAGAAUUAUCCUGUCAGCUAUCUACCUGUCCAGUGAAGAUAUAGAUAGCCUUAUGAAGCUCUUAGAAGAAAAAAAAUGAUAGAAAUCUUAGUCGGGUCUCAGUCUGUGAUAAGGGUUUGCAUAGGAGCAGAUGCUGAAUAUCAGGACUCAGCUCCAGUUUUUUUAAGUGAAUUUAAACACAUGCAGAGUGCAUUUUACAUUCUAGUAAGGAUGUAUCCUCACUCUCAGCACAUAUCUGGAAAGAGGGGGGAAUGCUUUCAGAGUUUGGGACCUUAUAACUAGCCUGUCUCUUUUGGGAAACUCAAAACCCCAGUCUUCAGAGCACUUUGCUGUCAUAUGUGAGAACUGUCAAGGGAAGUUCAGAUGCAGACUUUGCUUCUCCGCCUUUUGCGCCUUGAUUUUUUCCCCCACUGUGUGGCCAUGGAAUGCCCUCCACUUCUUUUCCAAGACCAGACUACUGGAAAAGAUCUCCCCCCACCCCCCUGAAGAUUUGAUAGAUAUUAUAGGGGUCUUUUCUAUGUUUAGCAUAGCGUGAAGUCCAUUGCACACCCCUCCUUGCACUUUACCUUCUCGAGGGAAAUGGACAUUCACACCAACUUUGCACCCAAACUAAUAAAACCUUUUGAGAAAAAGUGUUUGCUUGAGCACUAAUGGAUUCUACUUUGCUUCAGACACUCAGCCUCAAUACUAGUCACAGUAUAUCACAUUGUUUUGGGCUUAGAGCAUUGAAACAGGAUUGUUUAACUCAAAAAUAAAAUAUGUAACCCCCAUAUAUGUGUGUGUGUGUGAGAAGAGGGAGAGGAAGAGAGAGAGCUGAAGGGGAGGCCUUAGCAGCUUGGUCAGAAAGGGUAACAUCCAUACUUGCAGCUACUAAACUAAUACUUGGUGGGACUUCUGAGCAAAGUUUUAUGGCAGAACUUAGCCGAAACAUUACUGCAACACACUGGAAAGCCAGUAUGUGUGUAAUGGUGAGAGUGCCAGACUAGGACUGAGGAGACCUUGGUUCAAGUCUCCACUCAACAAUCUAAAUAGGCAACAGAGAAAACAGACAAAAGACAGACGGUAAAUGAGAGACCAGUACUAAGAAGUGCAACAUUUGUCAGCAAACGCUGUUACACAUCUUUAAAGCUUUGUUAUGAUUGUGAAUAAGGGUGAAGGUCCAGUAACCUGGGAGGAAGCUGAAACAAGCACAGGGGGACUGGCUUCUGAAAAUCUUACAAAAUUGUCUUUUACAAUAUUUGCAGAAGCCUAGUGCUUGAAGAAAGGAAAUCCAGUUUGUAGAGAAACAGGGCCAGAGAAAUGGAAAUUCUCCAUCGAUACCCACAUCAUAUCCAGCCUCUUGGCUCUUGUCCUUCUUGUGGUACGUCAAAGAAGGCAUAGCUUCAUAAUCACUGUUGAUAGCAAUACCAGGCCCCAAAAUUAAUUCACAUAGAACACAUAAAUGUGUGUUCAAGUCAUGACAAAGAAGCACAAAUCUAGGUACCCUAAAAUGACUGUGCCCUAGAAGAGAGAUGGUCAUGGGACUGGCCAGAAGAGAAGUGACCCUUGACUUAAUCUUAAGUGGCACUUAGGACUUGAUGCAAGAUGUAAAAAGAAAGUUUAAACAAAAAGUGAAGUUCAUCAAAAUCUGCCAGAACAUUUGUGCAUGAGUAAUCAAACCACUAUAACAGAACCUCAGCUAGAAUCUAUACUAUGGAUAAGGAUAAGUACAACCAGUCCGGACCAGUUAGCUUAAGUGGCAACCCUAUUGCAAUGGUCAUAAGUCUCCCAACUUGGAGGCUUAUGCUCACCCUCUGCAGGCCAGGAGAACUGGCAGAGGUGAUCUCCAUCUCCCCAUCUGUGUGCGCUACAUUUUCACUCAGGUGUCUUUUUGUUUUGCUUGUGUAAUGAAAGCAUUUCAGAGAAGGAAGGAAAGAAAUUAGAGAGGUCCCUCUACGCUCACCAAAAUUUCUUCCUCUCUGAGGUUGGAUUCCUGACCUUGGAGAAGUAGCAGACAUGGUCACAAGUGGCGUGUGUGUGUGUGUGUGUGCUGGCCUUCAGGUUCCCCCUCCCUGUGGCUGGAAUACUGUGUCUGAGCUUGGAUUUGGGAAUCCAAGGUCUCCUAUGGUCCCUCAGGUGCUAUUUAGGGGCCAUAGGAUUGCUUCUUUGGGGUGUAGUCCUAUGUGUAUUUAGAAUCAAGAGUCCCUCAACUCUCAGCAUUCCCUAGCCAGCAGUGCUAUUUUUUUUUACCUUUUCCUGUCUAAAUAUGCAUUGGAUUACGUCGUUAUCUGUUCUGUAUAAUUUGGUGGAAAGCAAUAUUAAGGAUAACAUCUGUCUAACAUAUAUGGAACAAAUGUGGCUGAAGAAGAACCAAAAUGUGUUCUGAAAAGUUAAGUCCUUCCUUGCUGAUCUUUUAUAGGUCUUCAGGAGUGUCCGCAAGCAUGUAGAUAGGGGUGAUUCAAUACACACUAGGAUUUCCAAAAACCUUUUACAAAAUUCCUCCUCAAAGGCUCCUGAAUAAACUCAGCUGUAGUGGGAUAAGAGAAAGAGUCAGGCACUCUUAUGAAUUGGUGACUGGUUAAAGAGGAGAAAGCAGACACUAGGAAUAAUGGGCAGUUUUCACAAUGGAAGGAGAGAAGAAAUGGGAUUCCUUCAAGGAUCUGUUACUGGGACUGGUGCUGUUUAAUUUUUUCAUAAAUGAUCUGUAGAUAGGGGCAAGUUCUGAGAUGCCCAGGUUUUUUGAUGACACUGUGGUAGUAAAAAACAGAAAUGGAUUGUGGGCUUCAAAAAGAUUUCUCCAAAUGGUGUGAAUGAGCAAUAAAAUGGCAAAUGUGAUUCAAAAUAAGUAAGUAUAAAGUGAGAGAAAAACUCUGAUGGGGUGGUUGACCAGGAAAAAGAUCUUAGGGUUGUGAUGGUAAGCUCAAUUAAAACACAAAUCCAUGUGAGGCUGUGUGUUAGGGAUCAUUAUGAAGCAGAUGGGAAAUAAAACUGCAAGUAUAUAUAAGAAUAUGAAAUAGUGCCUUUAUAUGGAUGUGUGAUUCAUCCAUACUUAUGAUAAGGUGUAUAGUUCUGAAUGCUUUUUGGAAACAAUAUAAAAACUGGAAAAAGGUACAAAAUGGUGUGGGUUGUGUGUGCAGGGCAGGGUGAUCAGGGUGCAGGAGCAACUUUCUUAUGAGGAAAGGUUAGAACAUUUGGGCCUUUUUUGUUUGGAAAAAGGCAGGUGAGCAUAGAGAUGAUGGAGUAAAAGUUGUGCAUGGCUAUGGUGAAAGUGGAUACGGAGGUGUUUUUCUCAAAAUAAGAUGCUAGGGUUACCUCAUGAAGCUGAAUUGUAGGGGAUUCUGGGCAGAAGAAUAAAAGGAAAUUCUACGUCAAGCAGCAGAUAGUCAGACAAUGAAUUUCAUUAACACAAAUUGUAUUAAUGGCUGUUGACAUAACUGGCUUGAUAAGGGGAUUAGACAAACUCAUGGAGAAUAAAAGUAUAGGUGACUGCAAUUCAUGAUGCUUCUAUGCUACUUCUAGGAGGAGAUACAACAUGCCCAUGAACACUGGUUGCUGGGGAACAAUGUCAGAAGAUGUCUAUUGCCUUCUUGUGUGCUAUGGGAAGAUCUGUGGUUCUUACAAGAAAGGCUUGGCUCUGCUCAAGGAUGCCUGGAAGGUUUGGGGAGCUCGGGCCUCUUCAAGCUGAGUCUGAUCAUAGGAACGGACCAAGGAGAAGAAGGGGCGUACUGUUUGCAAACGGGCCUUGCCAUGACCAACUCCCGCGUGGGUAAGUGGAAAGGCAACGGGAAGAUGGUGCGAGGCUGCUUCAAGGCACGCACCCCAAGCCGUGUGUGAGGCUCGUCUUAAUAACCCCGGAAUAGUUUCCACCCAAUGCGGGCUCAGAUCACCCGUCGUUGCACCCAUGCAUCCUGCGUGCACAGCAUAGGUUUAAACGCGUAUCCAAAUGUCCCUCGAAGUAAGCUUUGCUGAAAGACAGAGGGAUUUACUUCUGCGGAAACGUUAAUCAUGGCUGCAUUGGCCGAAAUUCUUUUAACCAUGCCGGGAGCGCCGUCCCAAAGGGUCAUUUAGAGUGGCGAAAGUGGAUUUGACCCACUUUUCCUACGCCGAGAUAGUAGAGGAAGCAAACGCGGGAAGCAAACCCGUGAUGAUGGUGCGCUUGGAAGCAGGGCAGGGCCUGGUUCUGCGUGUAGCAGGCUGAUUCAGUGGUGUUACCUCCACAGUUCAGUAUUUAACGGAGUCCCAUUAAAUAUCAGAAUAGGGACGCAGGUGAAAAUUAAACAGCGCAGUCUUAGCGAUGUCUACUCGGAGGUAAGCUUGCUUAGUUAAAUGGGGCUAUAGCCUUCUGCUGGUUCAUCUACACUUGGUGGGAAUUGACUUCUGUAUGGACAGGUAUAGGGUUAGACUGUUUGUAUGGAAGAGGAACCUUUUACCAUGAUUGGAGCACUAGGUAUGAUUAAAAAGGCUAUACUUUCUGCCUCCUUAUUUAUGGGGAGCUUAAUCUAACUAGUGGAAACUACUGUGCAAUUACUCCAGACUGAAAAUGUGGUGCAGACUGGUGCGAUCUUGCAUAUGUGGCAUUGAACUGCUACUGUCGUAGGCCUCAGGUGGUGAAGAGGGUGCUCAGAUUUUGAGAAGCAGUGGAUGGGUCGAAAGCGGAUUGAGAAAAUAUAGUCAUUUACCCAAUCGUUUCUCACACCAGCCAGGGAAAGGGAGGGGAAAAAAAAUCUUUAUAGGGUGAAACAAGCAAUCAAGUGAAAUCUAUCCUCUUUAAAUAAACGGAUCCCUCUGUAUUUUCCCAGUGUUGGUGUAAGUUGUUGUCUGCAAUGUUCCCCUGGGCUUUUCCCUCUGCUCUCUGAUUUGGUGUAUAAAAGCAGUCCUGAAUGAUGGAUUACUGUGUCAUUGCAGCCUGCGAAGGAUUAAUUUGUUUCAUUGAUUUGUCUUUAGGCAGAUUGCCAGAAUCUGCCGCUUCCCACCUUUCCCCGAGACUUCCAGCAGUAAUAGACAGUAAUAGUCUAAGACAAAUCAGCCAGUUUUGUGUAAAAAUAGAAACACAGAGCCCCUUAUGGUCUUGGGGAGAAGUUGGUAGCCUGUGCAGUGUUGAGAAGUACUGGAUCUGUGAAUACUUUAAAGAGGGUGUUUAAAAUAGUAGUAAUAAUCCCUAAGGCAGAAGGGGGUGGGUGGAAAAGGAGGGGACUAUUUAAUUGGAAAUGACUGAAAACCAAGUUCGACACUUGUGUCCUGGGACCUAUCUUUGGUGCUAAGCUUCAUUGCCAGUGCUAAGCAAAAGAAAGUAAAACUAAAAAGAAGUGAGUGCCCCAGUAUGUGUAGAAUGCCUUUAUGCCUUUGGAUCUCUGAACUUCCACAGCCAUGGCUUCAUGAUCAGUUUCUCAUGCAGGAAGUCACUGGUCAGCAAUAAAUCCCAGGUAUAGCACACAACCUUGGAUUUAGAUCCUAAACAUGCACCUAAGGCUCUUUAGUGUUAGCACCAGCUAAAAUGCCCUUGCUUCUACAUAAUGAGAGGCCAUUGGAAAACCAUUAAAGGGCAUCAUGUUGAUACUCAGCCACAAGCUCUAGUUCCAUAGGAAAAAAAUAAGGAAAAGCAAGAGUUCAUUUUUUUUAUAUUAAGCGUCGGCCUAUAGCUAAUCUAUUAUCGAUCUGUCUCUCUGUAUGUCUGUCUGCAAUAUUGCUAAGAUAUGUCAGGCUUCAGAGUCCCCUCAUGAGUGCAAUGUAGAGAGAAAACCACCGGAUCAAUUUGUCUGGAAGCGUUAAGAGGGUCAUUUGGUUGGGUAAAAAAAUGAAUGACUCUAAAGCUAGGUGGGCAAUAUAAUAUUCAGCAGAGAGAAGUAAUACCCAUUACAUAAGGAGCUUGCCAAUCUGAUCCUCAGCCCAGUUUAGCUAGAGUAUUUGGGCUUUUGAACCAAUUUUACUCCCAAGGAAAUUAAAGGGUUUCAAACAGAAUUAAUCGAAAUGCCUUGUUUUCAGAGAACUGGUGAUAAGGCUGGUCCAGUUGGGAAAGUUUUAUGUUUUUAAAAACCACUAUCAGUCAACAACCCUAAAACAACAUUUUGGAGAUGCAGAGUAUCUCACCAAAGUGAUUUGUUUCCAGUGCUGGAAACCAUUGAUUUAUUAGUAACAGCUUAUAUUUUAUGUGAAAUUACUAGGCUGUCAAUCUAUUAAGGACUUUAAAAGAAGUUGACUGACUACUUUUGCCUGAUGCUUCAGUGAAUUGACCUGCUGUCUUUACCUGCAAGAGAGAUAAUAAAAGCAACAAUUUUCAAGCCUAGAGUGUCUCCUGGAUUCUGAUGGAAUGCCAGGACAGCCAGGGGCUGGGAACCAUUGUGGGAGACAAGUAUCUGAUCAGUUUCAAAAUUUAUCAAGGUGGAAUCUGCUCAAUGAAAGCCUUUUGACAAGAGUUAUUGUCCUAUGGUAUGUAUGCGUGGGGUUUUAAAAACUAUUUUGUGAACACUUGUAGAUGCUACUUCUCCUCCUUGGUGUUCAGAUAGGGAACUUCAACCUUUCUUUAUCUAAUACAACAUUUAAAAAAUGUACUUACGGUGGUAAAUUAUAAAGAUAAUUCCUCUUGAAAUAAUUUUGGCUAUGGGUAUUACUGUAGAUGAACAGGCAAGGAACUGAAACUGAAUAAACAAAUUUAGGACUAUUCUGUAAUUAUUCCACACCUAGAGAACAGCCAUACCUUUAUUAUGAUCAGCUCAGAUAGUAAAGCAAGUUCUUGAGUAUCUUGUUUUAAGUUCUUCAAAGCUCAUUAUCAGGCUGGAUGUUGAACAAAUGCAAGUGUGGGUGGAAGCAAGAAGUGGCACGAUAAAGCCACAUUAUCUGUUGUUUUAACAGUUUAAGACUGAGUUUUGCAGACUGAACUGGAUUGCCCUGUGCUAGUUGCUAACAGAUUUCAAGCAGGCUGCUGGGACAAGGCAAUAAUCAACCAAUCAAUUAUGGAACAAAUAUGGCUCUCUGCUUUUUGUGAGUUCAAGAGUAGACCCACUGAUAUGAAUGGCUUUCCUCAAUACAAAGAGAUAUGUGAAUACAAAAUACUGCUCUUGUUUAAUUCUUGUCUCUUAUGGUGCUAUAAGAGUAACUUGCUUAGAUGCAAGCCUGUCUAGUACUUUUUCCCUUGAACUAUAUUGGUUACUUUACAAUAGAAAUAAUUUACCUUCAUCGAGCUAUAAAAAUCAGUUAAAUAAAAUCCAUUUAGAGGUCCUCCUUCAUGAUCCCCAUUGACAGGCAUAGGAGGGAGCUAUGUAGUGAGCCAAUGUGGUUUCUGCAGAUCUUCUAGGCAGAUUUUGUUUAGUCUGAAAUUUGGAAAGAAGACAAAAGUCACAAAAUUCAGUGUUCUGCUUAAAGGUAGGAAUAUACACAAAGCUGUUAUCCAAAGAUCAGUGCAGACAAUCCUGCCCAUAGUAUGCCAAACAGCAUAUUGUUUCUUAUUUUAUUUCAGUUCUACGCUGAACUGUUAGCCAAAGUUCUCUGGGUAGUUCACAAACCAAACUUAAAAUCAUUAAAUAUGCUUAUAGAAUAUAAAUACAUUUAUAUAUACCAUAUAUUUAAAACAAGAGGACACCAAAGUAGGAAUCCAGUUAAAGAAACUAGUGCGCCACAACCUAUACAAGAGGAUACUCUACCCAAUAAAGCUGAGAUCCAUGUAUAGCCAUACUUGGACCAGGCCCACUGAAUCCUUGGGAUGUAAGUUAUUCAUGAUUAACUUGAUUAUGAUGACUUACUCCAACUGUGACUUGAUCUGGAUCCAACCCUUAAUAUUCCAGGUAGCUAAAGUGACCCGGACAAGUGAAUCAUCACAGGAAAAGAUGAACAUGCAAUGGGAGCACUAGUUAGUUUAGUUUGCUUCUAACUUCUUUUCAGAUCCUGUUUGCUGAAACAUCCAAUUCACAGAGGGAUUUAGAGUUGAGUAACCAUGAAUUGUGAAUAAACCUUGGGAAAUUAGGUAUGUGUCUUCAAAAUAAACUCCUAUAAGAUUCCUUUCCCUCACUUUUAUCAUAAAAUGCUAAGCAAUCUAUUCUACCUAAAAUAUAGAAAGAAUAUGACUUUCCUAAUGGCGUCCCAGUAAACUUGGUCAUCAUAUAAGUGGGAGAAAGUGGUCUGAGGACCACUGUGGCCACUGCCUUUAGUCCUACAUGCAUUCAUACUUGGAACUAAUGACUAAUGCAUAACUCGGGCAAUAAAUUCUACAUUUCUUAGGUCUGUUCCUAUGAACAAAUUCAGUUUUAACCUAUGCACUUCAUGCUUUGAUGAUCUGUCAUCAGUGACACGGUAAACACAAUAUAAUGAUGGGUAUGGUGUUGCUACGAAAAGCACAUACAAAUUGCCCUAUAAAGGCAUGUAUGAAGCAUAGUGGUGUGAUAUAACUGUACGGAGACAAAUUCCCCAAACCAAAUUAAAUAGAACACAGGUCCAGGAACCCGCUAAAGGCCUGUAACACACAAAUGACUAGACCAGUCAGUAUAGGAGGACUAGUACAGGAGGGUUGGACCUAUUUCAUCUUGAUGGCUGAAUUUUAUUUCAGAGAAAUUCUCAAUGGAUGCAAUCUAGUGGUGGGUGGGGCAGAAGACAAUAUGGGGCAGGGUCAAAAUACCUGCACAUUUUAGUUUAAACCGUUUAUUGCCAGUAACAAAGACUAAGGAGAGACAUUUUCAAAGUGCAAAAGCCAGGAAACUAGCAAAUGAUCAGUGGUUGUUGGAGAAAGGGGGGUUGGCCUUCUGGGAAACUCCAGGGAGCUGGAUUUGGCUCCCAGGUUGGCUGGGCUGGGCUGCUGAUCCUGAGGUUCUGCCCUUCUGAUUUAGGCCAUCCCUUCCCUCCCUCACAUCAGAUAAGGCUACAAAUCCUGUGCACAGUUUCUUGGGUAUAAACCCAACUGAACUUAGUGGGACUUUCAAGUUAACAGACAUUGCAUGAAGCUACAUCAGAAAUAUGUUCACAUGAAGUAUUUCCAGGAAGGAAGAUCUAUAUUUGUUGUUCCUUAAUGGAUCUUCCAAAAAUAAUUCAGGGUCAACUGAAAACGUGCUUCUUCUUAGAGGAGCAGAAAUCUUUUUAAAGCAAGGCUUCAAAUUGUUUAUGUAGUCCCCCAUAAUAAGUAGCCAAGCCAUGGCUCAAUAUAAUAAAGGAGAUCAUUGAUAAAAAAGCCUAAAAUGGCUCUCACUUGGGAGCACUUUAUGGUCACGUUUGCUAAUUCCUCAAAUGCUUUAUCAUCUCUUUUUCACACUGCGUGGCAAAUCUGAGCCAAAACAGUAAAUGUAUCCUUUUGCCCCCUUCUUCUGCCACCUACAAUAAAGCAGUAAGAUGAAUUUCAGUGAAAUCCAAAUCUGAAAGUCUAAAACAGGGCCGCAGCCUUUCAUCCCUACAAAACUGGAAAGAAACAAGAGCCAGCUAGAUUAGCAAACAUUAACCCCUCGAAUAGGAGUGCAUGCCUAUUGAAGUGACAGAUGUACUCUCCUCACGGAUUUACGCUUACUGUACCUUUUAACACUCAUCGGUUCUAAGAGCUGCAUAUAAAAGCACCUUCAUCCUUGUGACGGAAAGGCUUAAUGUUACAUUACGAUGUGUUUUCUCUAAUUUAUAUUGUUUGAAAACUUAAUUCUCAGUUAUUUCAUUCAAAGUGCACAUGAGAUUAACACUUAGCACCAGAACUAAUAUAACAUUGGGUGAGACCACACACAGCAUUUCCAGCUGUGACCUUAGGAUCAGUUUGUCUUUAGACCAAAUUGAGCCCCCCUGUCUAUGCCAGUGCUGGAUUUACACAUAGUUAAAGCUUAGUUUCUGUCCAUAUGGUGUCCUGAACUCCUGUAGGUUUCUUAGUAGUUGUACAUUAUUAACAUCUUUAUUCUCGUGAUCUAUGGGAAAUGUGCCUUUCAUCUGAACAAGCUUUUCUUAAGAAAGAGCUCCCCUCCCAGAGGUGGUAUUUUUGAAGCUUCAUAUAUGAAACUCUUAAGUACCAAAAUAAAGAAAACCCUUUUUAAAAUGUAAAAAAAAUAUGUUUUUGUCUGAUUAAAGCUAUUUUUCAGCUUUUGAAACAAGUUCAUAUUUUCAGAUCCCAGUUGAAACCAUGAACAGCUCUUCUGGGAUUCUUUUUAUUAUUAUUAUUUAAGAAAGACAAUGCUAUGUUCAGAUGAUGUCGCAUUUAAGUAAAUGAAUGAGAGCAUAGCUUUACUCUUUAUAUGAACAUAAAGACAAACUUGAAAGGGUAGUUGAUCCCUUGACCACUAAUAAAGACAGAUUCUGAUAUGCAACAGAAAUAGUGGUUCUAUUGAAUCAAACUGAGUAACCUAACCCCAGGCACAGAUGAGCUUGUAGAGCAGACACAGACAAGUGACCAACAUGUAUUUGAAUUGGGCAUGACUGUGAGAAAUACAUUGUACUCAAAGCCAAUGGGAGAGACUGAUGAUCAGUAGUUCAGUGGUUUUGUGGACUAUGAUCGGUCCUCAGACAGCAUCUUUGAUUAUUGGUGGCAAAUCUCUUCCCUGUGGGCUUUGUUACUCUCUUAAAAGUUGUUCUUAAAAUGGCAUUUGGAAACUUUUCCUGUGCAAAUCUUAUUGAAGUGAAAGGGGGUAUCACAUGUGCACAGAUACCUAUUUCCAUCAGCUGGCAGAGCAGAGGUUUUUAGGCUUGGUCAGAUGCAGCCUGUGAUGUAAAUGUUGAUGCUACAGGAACUAUGAAAUUAUAAAAAUUACAGAAGCUAUCUGUGAAAUCAGUAUUUUCAAAGUAUCUUACUCAGUGCCUUUUCAUUUACAUUAGGAAAGUCUAGCGGAAUGUUUCUUCACUCCUACCUUCAGUGCUUGCAUCUCUUUCAAGUAUGAAACAUUGAUUUUAAAAAAACAGCAGCUGGCCCAGAGUUUUCCUUCAUCAUUUCAUAGGGUUCCUCCUACCCCUUCAAUAUCAAUCAGGUUAUUUUUUCAGGACGGGAACCAGGAUCUAACACCUAGCACUUCAGAAUUGGCACUUGAUCCUCACAAGAAACAUAGGCCAGCAUUACAGAAUAGCAAUAACCCCAACCUGCCCAGCAGGUACAAGUUCAACAAAGAGACAUGCUAGCUUUGGGUUAGGGUCCCCCCCACUAUUUGUAAUUGGGAACAAGCGACUUUGGUCUCUUGCUAGUGCUAGAAAUCCAUAAUGGAAGCUGACGGAUGUUAAGUAGGUAAUAUUCCAGACACAGCAGCAUACGAGUAUUUUCUACUCCUACCAAUGGUGAGUGGUUACCAAUUGCAACUAAAGCAGGGAAGGAGGCAAAACAGACUCAAUUAAGUAGCAGCAAAUAAGAUUCUACCUCCUAGUCCAUACUCCAUAAUGUGAUGGCAAGGCAGAGUUGCAGGAAAUGGUAACCUACUAGUUUUACAGGAGAGACACUUUGAGGUGGAGGUGGAAUGUGGUCAGUGAACAUCCAUUGUCCUGAGACAACUGUUGGCCAGGACUACUGUUAAUUUCAUAAGAACAUAGCAUCCCCUGCCUGCCCCUCUGGUCUCUGAAUCAGCAAUUGGGUGAUCAGUUGGUACUUCUUGUUGGGCUGGAUUUGAUCCUGAGGCCUCUAGAUUGAUGUAGUGAAAGGCAGUCUUCCAGUUAGGAUGCUUUUAUCUAGCUGGCUUGAAAUACUCUCAGUUAUACUAUAAGUGUGGGACUGUGAAACAUGUAAGUAUUUAUGUUAGUGCCCUAAUUACUCAUUGUAGAAUCAAAGCUGUAAAGACAAAAGAAAGUGUACAGGUUUUUGUUUAAGCAGCUUCCAUCACUGCUUGCUGUGCAGCAAUAGAGAGAGGAUAGAUGAUUGAUAUCCUGGGCAUUUUGUUACUAUCCAUUGACAGAAGUAGUUGGCUUGAGAAGGCUUGUGCAAUAUUAAUUUAUUUUCCUAUGAUCACAGAAUCUUUCACUACUUCCCCACAAAUUAAGUUGAUUUGAGUUUUCCAUGCAAAACCGAUAAAAAUAACACAACACAUUGUUUUUUUUUUAAUAAAUUGUGAAAUCUAGUAGCCUGAUAGGUCUUAGUGAAUCCUUUUUUUGUGCAAGAACUUAUUAAUCACCUAGAAGUUUAAUGCAUUUGUGAUAUAAGACUAAGGGACAUUGAAAUGGCAAAUAUGCAAACAGCUUUGAAUGAUAUUUAAAGGGGAUGCUUAGUCUCCUGCCCAACCAUUAACCUCUGCCACUGCAAAGCUUUUAUAUUAAUGAUAGAAAAAAUCCACUUCCCUAUUCUAUUUGUUGUUAUAUCAGAGAUUAAGGUGAUGUUUGCCAAAUUACAUGAAGUGUAGCACAAUUCAGCCAAUCUGUCUAGUUAAAGAAUGCAAAUUCUAAUGAACAAUGAAUUUCUGCUAAUCCAAAAGGAAAUAUAUGCCAUGAGGAAAAAAAGGAAAGGAAAUGUUUAGUUUUGUUACAAGCAUCUGUUUUAUUAAAAAUGCAUUUGACAAAGUGCUAAAAAGUUACUCUGUGAACGCUUUGUUCUGUACAGUCCCUUUUGUUCCAUGUGGUGGGAUCUUGCAAAUGUAUAUUCUUAUGUUUGACCAAGCUAUCAGAAUUAGUUAUAUCCAAUUGUCUCUGUAACUCUACACUGCAUUAAACAUCUUAGCAGCUUUUUACUUUUACAACAUUUCAGAGUAUUGAGAAAAUUGCUACCAUUAACAAAAGUGGCUCUGAGGAGUCUGGAGGACUUCAGGAAUGUUAAUGUGUUGUACAGACUUAAACAUGUUAGUUCCAAUUUGUUCCAGAUAGAUAGGAAAGCAACCCAUCUGAUUGCAGUUUGGUAACCUUUGCAUGAGUUCAUACAUUACAUUUUGUAGCUGUCUUUUCAAGAGCUUCUUGCAGAAAGGAGGGGACCAAGUUUAGAUUGUCAGGGACUCAGCCGGUAACCUUAAUUUAUAUAAGCGGCACCAAUUAUGCUAUGCAUACAUGUUAAAGAUGCGUGCCUUAAUAUGCUUGCACUUCAAUUUUAAAGAUGUUUAUAUAAAACAAGUCCCAUUGAUUUCUGUAGAAUGUACUUCCGAGUGCCUAGGAUCAUAGCCUCACGCUUUAUGCUAAACGCAUUUACUUGGAAGUACAUGCCAUUGAUUUUGAUGGUAUAUACUUGUAAGUAAAUGGAGUCUUUAAGACACUUAAAUUCUUCAUUUCAUUCCAGUUUUCUAAAACACUUGAGCAUAUGAAUCACAUAUCCAAUGGGACCUAGGAGUGUUUUUUGGGGGAAAGCAUUCAAUAUUACAACAAUUUAAUAUCAUAAUAAAUCAAAUCUUGCAAUAACUCAUGCAUAUUCUUGCUAGUGUAUGAUAGUGCAGGGCCGCAGUUUAUUCAUAUUCUGUCUU